UACGUAGGUGGCAAGCGUUGUCCGGAUUUAUUGGGUUUAAAGGGUGCGUAGGCGGCCCUGUAAGUCAGCGGUGAAAUACGGCAGCUCAACUGUCGAGGUGCCGUUGAUACUGCGGGGCUUGAGUGCUGAUGAGGCAGGCGGAAUUGACGGUGUAGCGGUGAAAUGCUUAGAUAUCGUCAAGAACACCGAUAGCGAAGGCAGCCUGCCAAGGAGCAACUGACGCUGAGGCACGAAAGUGCGGGAUCAAACAGG
rnacentral:rRNA from 1 species